rnacentral:rRNA from 1 species
AACGAACGCUGGCGGCAUGCCUAACACAUGCAAGUCGAACGAGAUCUUCGGGUCUAGUGGCGCACGGGUGCGUAACGCGUGGGAAUCUGCCCUUUGGUUCGGAAUAACAGUUGGAAACGACUGCUAAUACCGGAUGAUGACGAAAGUCCAAAGAUUUAUCGCCAGAGGAUGAGCCCGCGUAGGAUUAGCUAGUUGGUGUGGUAAAGGCGCACCAAGGCGACGAUCCUUAGCUGGUCUGAGAGGAUGAUCAGCCACACUGGGACUGAGACACGGCCCAGACUCCUACGGGAGGCAGCAGUGGGGAACAUUGGACAAUGGGCGAAAGCCUGAUCCAGCAAUGCCGCGUGAGUGAUGAAGGCCUUAGGGUUGUAAACUGCUUUUAUAUGUGACGAUAAUGACGGUAGCAUAUGAAUAAGGAUCGGCUAACUCCGUGCCAGCAGCCGCCGUAAAAC